AUAAAUUAAGUACUUUUAUUUCCCACAGAGUAGAAAGUAUGUAGGAAAAUAUUUUAAACAUUAAUUUUAUUUAUCAACAGGUGAAUAUUCAACAAAGAGGGCCAGUGGACUUGGUUUAAUUGUAGUUUCUACAGUAAUACUAAUAUUACUUCAGAUCUCAAUGUUUAUGAUAGCUCCAGCUAUUGGGAUGCUCCCCAUCAAUAUCAUCCUAUUGAUCAUUCAGGUGCUGGGCCUUUUGAUCUCUGUGGUCGGACUAAGCCUCUGUGUCUCAGAGUGCAUCCCAGUGCAUGGUUCUCUUAUGAUUUCAGGCUUGGGUAUUACAGCCUUAGUGGCAUUACUUGGAUUAAUUUACAUAUUUGU